rnacentral:lncRNA from 1 species
GAUUCUUUUCAAUUUUUUUUAUACUUGUUGUCAACUUAAUUUUUAAGAAGUUUGCAAGUUUUGAAUUAAAAUUGAUAAUUCAUUCAUUAGUUAUUGAGGUUUAAAUCUAUUAUAGGAAUUACUUGGAAUUGGUUAGGAUUUGGUUAGGGUUUGAUUUAGGAUUUAGGAUUUGAUUAGGAUUUGAUUUAGGCUUAGAAUUUGACUAGAGUUUGAUUUAGGAUUUAGGAUUUGGUUAGGAUUUGGUUUAGGAUUUAGGAUUUAGUUAGGAUUUGAUUUAGAGUUUAAAAUUUGGUUAGGAUUUGAUCUAAGAUUAGGAUUUGAUUUAGAGUUAGGAUUUUAUUAGGAUUUAAUUUAGGAUUUAGGAUUUGAUUAGGUUUUGGUUUAGGAUUUAGGAUUUGAUUAGAUUUUGAUUUAGGAUUUAGGAUUUGAUUAGGAUUUAAUUUAGGAUUUAAGAUUUGGUUAGGAUUUGAUUUAAAAUUAGGAUUUGAUUAGAAAUUGAUUUAAGUAUUAGGAUUUAUUUAGGAUUUAAGAUUUAGUUAGUUUUUGGCCUAAAGUUUGAUUGAAGUCCAAUAGGAUUUUAACUAGGAUUAAAUUAAGAUUGGAUUGAGAUUUAUUUGAGAUAUAUUUGUGAUCAUUCUAAUAUUUCUUUAAGAUUUUUUAUUAUUUCUUUGUAAUUCCUUUAAGGUUUCUUUGAAUUGAUUAAAGCUUGCUUAGCAUUGUUAUGGUCUAAUUAGAGUUUAGUUAGUGUUCUAUUAGAAUUAAGAUUUUAUUGUUGCAAUUUCCAUUCUAUCUUUCACAGCCAAG